GGCAGGCACAGUGGGAAGGCAUCCAUGCAUCACAGGCCAUGCACACCCUAAGAUCCCCUGCAAUUUCCCAGUCUCUGCGCACAUCUGGAGGGGCCGCUCUGUGCAGGAGGGAGGGCCCUGGAGCAGCUCCAAAAUGCUGGCCAUUUUCCUUCUCCUUAUCCAUGUCUUCAACAAGUGUUGCCUGGAGCAGAAUGGCACAGCACAGAGGAAUUACGGUGUGCAGGCUCAGGGGUUCGGGUACUGAGCAGGCCUGUGCCAAAGGGCAGCAAGGUGCCUGCAGGCCCCAGCUCUGGGGGAAACAGAGAACAUCCUGCCUGUAUCCACCGUGCUGCCAGCUCAGCAGUGCAGCACAGCACGGGCUCACGCUCCCCAUUGCUCCCACAGAUGCAGCCAGCACCUCAACACAUUCUGACAUCAUCUGGAAAAGCAUGAGAAGAGUUUUCUGCUGGGGAACACCUUGUUUGAUUAAGUUGAUGGCCAUUGUGGCUGGUGCGGCACUGUGCCUGAUGAUGUGCUGUGCAGCAAUCUGGUAUUGCUGGAAGAGAAAAUCGUGCUCCUGUGCAUCUUCAGAAAAUUAUCCUAAAAAUAGAGACAACGACAACUUGACAAUAUAACCCAGCUCUUCACUUCUGCCCCUAUCUGCCCUGCCGUGGCUGCACCACCAUAAUGAAGGCAUCCCCAAAUCCAUCCCUCCUCAACGAGACCCUCUGCCCCGGAGUCCCCUGGUCCUGUUCCCCGGCCAGGACUGAAGGUGGGCAGCCCUUGUCUGGCAGGGCAGGGCUUGGCCCCUAUUUUAUGUUUAAAUAAAGAAAUAGAGUUUUCACAGCUA